rnacentral:rRNA from 1 species
GACGAACGCUGGCGGCGUGCUUAACACAUGCAAGUCGAACGGUGAACUCCGCUUGCGGGGGGAUCAGUGGCGAACGGGUGAGUAACACGUGGGCAACCUGCCCUCAGCUCUGGGAUAACUCCAAGAAAUUGGGGCUAAUACCGGAUAUGACCGCUGACCGCAUGGUCUGGUGGUGGAAAGAUUUAUCGGCUGGGGAUGGGCCCGCGGCCUAUCAGCUUGUUGGUGGGGUAGUGGCCUACCAAGGCGACGACGGGUAGCCGGCCUGAGAGGGUGACCGGCCACACUGGGACUGAGCCACGGCCCAGACUCCUACGGGAGGCAGCAGUGGGGAAUAUUGCGCAAUGGGCGAAAGCCUGACGCAGCGACGCCGCGUGGGGGAUGACGGCCUUCGGGUUGUAAACCUCUUUCAGCAGGGACGAAGCGAAAGUGACGGUACCUGCAGAAGAAGCACCGGCCAACUACGUG